GCCUUUAUUUAUUUAUUUUGGGGUUUUGAGACAGAGCUUCGCAGUGUAGCUCAAGUUGGCUGAACUCAAAAAAUUUCCGUCUCAGCCUCCCGAGGGCUGGGGUUACAGCCAUGCAUCUUCACUCCUGGCUUUAAUUGUUUUUUUGGUACGGGGAUCAAACUUGGAACCUUGCACUUUCGAGGCAGACAGUGGAACCACUGAACUAAAUCCCCGGACCUUUAAUUUUUGAGACAGGCUUUUGCUACCUCAUGAAUUUCUGAGGCUGGGCUUGAGUUUGUGAUCCUCCUGCCUCACCCUCCCAGAACACUGGGGUUACAGUGGUUUUAUUUCAAACUGUUCACAUGCUGUCUGGUUGGAUCACACAUUGUCAUUCCCCCGGUGCUUCCUGCAUCUUCUUUGCUGAAGACUAAGGAUCCCCAAUCUGUAGAGGAGAUUCUGGACUCUUCCAGGGCCGUCUCCCUCGCAGCCCUGUCUGCAGGGCUCCGCUGACUGCCCGAGGAAGCAGUGUGAGCCCAACCACUACCUGGACCUGGACGGCCACUGCAGGGCUUGCGUCAGCUGUGCUGGAGGUGAGCCCUCUGUUGAGAACCUGGGGCUGGGAGGCCCGCUGUGGUUUCAUUUUAUUUUUUUGGUACCAGGGAUCGGGGACCUUGUGCUUGCGAGGCAGGCUGCAGAGUCACUGAGCUAAAUCCCCAGCCCCUGCUUUGGUUUUACUCAACCUUGAGAUCCUCACUUUACCUGUCUAGCAUUGUUUUUUUUUUUUUGAGACAGGGUCUCACUAUGUAGCCCAGGCUGGCCUUGAACUCGCAGAGAUCCUCCUGCCUCAGCCUCCUGAGUGCCAGGGUUACAGGUGUGCACAACCACACCUGGCUGGAAUGCACCCCUUUUUCUGUCCAUCUCAUUUCAUUCAGCGUAAUUUUGCUAAGCAUGCCGGGAGAGCCUCCCCACAGAGGCCACAUGAGCCCUUAUUUUCCAUGGGUGACUGGGCAGAGGUCCUCCGAUCUCCUGGGGGCUCUGGACCCUGCCCUUGCCUCCCUAUGGCUGCCUCUGUGCCCCCAGACGACCUCGUGGAGAAGGCGCCGUGCUCCUGGAACUCCUCCCGUGUGUGCCAGUGCCGGCCCGGCAUGUUCUGUGCCACCUCUGGCACCAGCUCCUGUGCCCGCUGUGUCACCUGCCCAGUCUGUGCACCAGGGACGGGGCCUGGACUGCAGGGUGUGGCUGGCGGGGAUGCCACCUCCAAGCCGCUUCCCCCAGGGGCCUGUCCUGACUGCAGCACCCCAGAAAGCAGCAAGGCUCCUGCCAGGUGAUCCAGGCCCUCCUCUCCUGCUGU
rnacentral:lncRNA from 1 species